UCCUCGUUCUGUGAUGUGAAACCGAAAGUGUGUUUUUAUUAUGAAUUUAAAUGACAACUGGCGCUAAAGUAGCCUGCACACAUUGCAACCGCUUCAUAACACACCUUAUGUUGACAUAAAAAUGAAGCAACAUAUACGCGAAACGGACCCGUUUUUAAAAAAAAUCAUAUGCUGGGCUCAUCCACACGAGACAGUUUCUCAGACCUCUUGUCCAGAAGGAAAUAAAGCACAAGAAAUGCUACAUUGGAGCAUGGUGAAUAUGUAUUGCUUGGCAACCUUCAAGAAAUGGUUCAAUUUUUGGUUCAGAUUCUUCCUUGCCCUCGGUAAAGGGACCUCCGAGAUGGAAAAGAUUAUAUUUGUGCAAAUCACGUGUGCAAAGCCCAAAUAAAGCAUGAAAAUUACACAUCUUCACUUGAUCAACCUGCUUUGUUUUUUGAAAUGAAAAGGGAGGUUUCUGUGGGAACUGGUUUAAAUUGAAUUCAAAGUGUACACCUUUCCUUUCACGCUUCCUCAGCUUACCCUUAGCCAUUUUUUCUUUUUUAAUCCAUUCUUCCGCCAUCAUCAGCCUCUCUUUCUUUCGGCAUUCAUCUGUGAAAUGCCUGGCAUGGGCAAAGGUAAUUGCAAGUGACUUUUUUGUAAUUCAAACUAAGGAGAGAUUGACAGCAAUAUAAAGGCUCUGUUAAAAAAAAUCAUUGGUAAUUGGUAUGAUUAUACACUUCUGUAGAGCAAGAAGUCAGCAGAGAUAUGAAUUCUCCUUUUCCACAAUGCUUACUACUUUUGAUUAGCAUUUUCUUCCCUCCAGAUGCAUUGCAUUGCAGAAUUGUACAUACGUUCAUUAAGUCUCGUGUAAACUUUCAAACCUCCACGCUUAACCACCCGUAGUUUCAUUUUAACACAGACAUGUAACUCAUUGUAACAUGUUCUGAAGUAUAAACCCAGUGUUAUGUAUUGCAGGCAGGAUAUUUAAAUGCUGUAACAGUGAUAUAAAGAUGCUAUGAACCUACCGAAUUAUGAUAAAAAAAUCUAAGCUUUAAGGACAGGAUUAAAAAAAUACCAACAAAAGUAGCACACUUCAGAUUUAUUAGCUCAGUCUGACCCAGGAUUACAUUCAAAGACCGAGUAACUACUGCGCUGUAAAUCAAGCUGUGCCCAGCAGGAGCAGGAUCACAAAGUCAAUAGCCUUCAGGGUCAAGGGUCAUUGGGAGGAAGCUCAAAAUCAGGCAGCUGCUAGUUAUAUCUUUAUCUACACUAAAUGACACAGUUGUUAUACUAACAAUGUGUUUACAAUGUAAUUUAUAAUACCAACAAAUAAAUAUAAUGACAUUCAAGCAUGUUCGAAUCAUCUUUCAAUCUCAGUACUGUGUUCUGGUAUUUCAUUAAAGGAAACAUAAGUAAGCAUUUUUUUUUUACCUGUUUAAAAUGCUUAGAUUUGUAGCUGGGCUGGCCUUUACAGUUUGGUCCAGCUGCUCCAAAAAACUUUCUGCAAGAACUCCUAAAUUUCACUUGACCAGCCUUAUAACUUCCAAGUUAUUUCUCCCAUGGUUGUUUAGCCAAGGGGGCCAAAGCCUAUUAAGUAGUUUGCUGGCAGAAAUAACAUAGGCAGCCUUACUAAUGGGGAGGUAUUGCUAAGAACUGAAGGAACUGUUGCUUACACUGUGUGUUUCUCUUUGGCUACAGUGAAUCACUAUGGUUAUUUCUGAAUAUCUGUGGAAAGUACCUGCUAUAAUAAGCAGGGUUUUCUGAAGUUUGUUGACUUGCAGUCAAAAGUGAUACAAUAGAAGCAACAGCAAUGACCACACAGGAGGGCAGAGCUGUGACUCAAAGAUAGAAAGUAAGAAGCAGUAAGAAAACACAUAAAAUUUGUGGUAGGAAGCUGAACUUUAGUACUAAUUUAUCAUGAAAAAGGUGGGACGCUGUGCUGAGGACAGCAGUUACAAGGAUGUUCAACAUGUGUUCGAGUGUGUACAUUUUGAAAAUGUUACCAAUUUAUACAAUGUUUCUCUCACUCAAUUCACUGAGAUCUGUUUCAUGAACAGAAUAAUGAUGUAUCAUGGCUGUGUAUCAAAUGUCAACAUAAAAUUGUCUGUUGUCUGUCUAUACUGGUAUAAUUAAAUAAACUUGACUAAGAAGUAUCUUUAAUGUUGCCAAAAACAUAAAAUUUCCUCUAUGUUAACAAGUAGGAAUGCAGAUGACUGAGGAGACUGCGUAUGUGUAUGUGUCUGUGUAUAUAUGUCCAUGUGUGUGCACCCCAGACAGCAGGGAGAAAGAAAAGCGGCCUUUUUUACUAACAUUGAUUGGAAACAGAUGUUGGCGAAGCCAAGACAGCAAAGAAAAUGUUUCGGAAAAUUCUCAGGGCUCAGCCUUCCCUUUCUGGGCCCUGGCCCAGGCAACCAAUCAUUGCAGAGCACCCUCUGGUCUUUGGGGUGAACUAAGCACUUCUAUUGGAUGAAGACGUGAACGUGGGCGUUGGGAGCAGAUGUCCUGGGAAAGUUGCUGAAUCCCACUCAACUCACAGUAAAAGAAAGCGAAAACAUUUGCUUGGUUAACUGGACAGUGACCAAAGCAUGUUUCAAUCCAGAUGAACUCUCAGUGCAUGUAAAGCUGACAGUGAAUACAUUAGCACUGUAUUACAGAUUUAUACAUUUGAAAUGGAUUGCUUUUCAAGUUGUUAUUCAUUCAACUGCCUCACAAAAAGAAACCUAAGAAGAAUAGCCUGUAAGAAAAAUGUCUUUAAGACCUCUAAUUCUUUUCUUUCAUCUAGUCGGCUCAAAUGAAUGCGAAUGAGAGCUUCCUCGCACCCUCAUCUCCCCAUCCCUUCACACUUCUAAACCUUCAACUGCUCCUUUGCUCCUUUUCACCUCCUAACCUUCACCCUCCUGCAUUCAACUUUUUCUAUUCCAUCUCUCAUCUCUCUGCUCGUCUCUGCCCCCAGCCCCCUCUCCCUCCAUCUUUAGCACCCAGAUUCAGUCACAGUCUAGUUCACAUAUGGCCUCACCUGCACACAAAGCUCCAUCUCACUCUUUUAUUGUGCCAGUCUAUUGCCUAUUCACAGCAACGGCACAGCACAAAUCAAUCAUCUUUCCUAAUGGAAAGUCCACAUUAACAUGAGAAGACACUCCAUUUCCGUCUCAGAAUGCCAGGUCGACUGGUACCUGAGCUCCGGUCGAUGAAGAUCCAGGGCCCUGCAGGCGCUCUCAUUUCAGGUGGGAUAGCGAGGUGAUGCCGUUAGGUCCAGGGGUGGCACCGGGAGUCAAUGGUGUAUUAACUGAGGAUGUGACAAUGGCAAUAAAAAUGCAAAUUGCCAUCCAAAGCAGGGGAUGGCCUGGAUCUGCCCUUCAUAAGCCUGCAUAAUACAGUCAGCACACACCUGCUAAGACAUGCGGUUCAACACGUCUCAAACAUAACAAUACAAUGAGUGAGAGGAAGGGAGCGUGUGUGUCUAUCCUCGAGAUCAUAACACCGGUAACUAAAAGAGUUUUCUUUUUAUCACUGUCACUUCUCAUUGAUUUGUCUAGAAGUCCCCAUUAUGUACAAUUUGUAUUGGGUAAAAAAAAAAGUUAAUAUGCUAUUGAACAGCACUGGUCUCUACAACCUUUUACCAUUCUUCAAGGUAUUUUUUGUUCUCAUGAAAACGACGUCAACAUGGUUUAACACGUAUUUGACAUUUUGAAACCAACAUGCUAGACAGCACUCUUCGCCACAAUCACCAUAACACCAAAAGAGGAAAUGUUUUUUUAAAGGACUGGUGGGUGAUAUUUGUAGUAGCUCCAGAGACUUGGGCAGUUCAUACCAGGGUGCAUUGAAGCUAUUCUGGUGUUAUUAGAAAAUCUGUUGUGUCCUGUUGUUAACUGUGUGCAAAUUAAUCCAUUAUGUUUUGUCUGAUAUAUUCCAUACUAAGGUUAAAGGCCAAGUGUGUAGGAUUCAGCGUGAUUUACUAGCAAAAACUGUAUCUCUGAGUCCAGUUCAUUACACACACCCUCAAUCAUGGGAAGACUGCUGACCUGACAGCUGUCCAGAUGAUAGUUAUCAACAGCCUCCACAAGAAGGGUAAGCCACAAAAAUGAUUGCUGAAAAGGCUGGCUGUUGGUAGAGUGCUGUACUAAAGUAUAUUAAUGGAAAGUUUAGUGGAAGGGAACGUGUGGUAGCAAAAGGUACACAUUGUCUAGAAAAGUUAUUUCAAAAACUUGGGAGAGCUUCACAAAGAGUGCACUAGGCUGGUUUGAGUACAUCAAGGCUACUCUUGCAUUCCUGAUAUUAAGCCACUCCUCAACCAAAGCCGCAAGAAGUGUCUCUUUCCACAUAAAGAUAAAGUUUGCAUUUCAUCAUUUGGAAAUCAAGGCCAUACAGUCUAGAAGAGGAGAGGAAAGUCACAGAAUCCAAGGUGUUUGAAGUCCAGCGUGAAGUUUCUGCAUUCUGCGGUGAAUUGCGUUGCAAUGUCCUCUGGUGUCAGUUUGCAAUGUUUUAUCACGUCCAAAGUCAACAAAGUCAUCUACAAGUAGAUUUUAGAUUAACUCGUGCUUCCAUCUGCUGACAAACUUUACAGAGAUGCAGAUUUCCUUAUUUAGCAUCUACCUGCCAUGCCAAAACUAUGCCAAAUGUUAUUACUGUGUUUGACUCACCACCCAACUAACCUGGCCUUAACUGUCAAGAGGAAGAUGAAGGCCACUAUCAAAGCAACUUCAGUAACACCUUAGCAGUAACACCUCCAUAACACACCACACUGACGCAGUAAUUUGUUGUAAAGGAGCAUCAAUAAAUCAAUGCAUAAAUCAACACACAAGGUAAACAUUUCUGUAUAAAACUUUGUUGCUUGAUCUUGGAAAAUAUUUGACAUAUGUGUAUUAACAAAACAAUAAAUGGAAGUUUAAUUAAAAUAAACCUUCACUUUUCCAUGAUAUUCUAUUUUUUUGAGAUAGACCAGUAGUCUCUAUGAAAUGGCAAACCUCCAUAAUCCUUUAGCAGGGUCAUUUUUAAGACAAUGGUUGUAACUCUGUUUAUGAUAGUGCCUGCAUACUAUACUAACACAAGGCAGCACAACUUUGAAGGGCAAUAGGACAUGAAUAUGUCCUCUGAUAACAGUUUUUUUUUUCUCUGUUGGGCCAUAAGGACCCACAGGGACACAUUGGUUGUAUUUCAAAACUGCGUAAUGGAACCACUGAGCUGUUGUCUCGUGCGUCACAGGGAUUCUGUUUCAAUGAAGAGGAUAUAAUGUUGGGCAGUGAAGACAGAUGUAGUUAUGUUCUAUCCAUAGCAGAAUUUUAGGUCAUAAACAUUAAAGAUUGAGCUACAGAAGAAAUUAAAAGUUGGAAAAGAUUUUGGAGUUCAGUUUACAAUAACAAUCAAUUUAAGGCACUUUAUAUUUUAAGGUAAAGACCCUAAAAUAAUAUGUUGAGUGACAUAUUAUAUAUUCCAUAUUAUAUGACAUAUAAUAACAUGUAGACUGUGUUACACACUUUCCCUUCCAGUGUUGGAUUUAUGGUUGUUCCAGUUCUACUGCUUUCUUCACAGUUCAUUUAGAUGCUCUAACUCUGUAUACAUGUAGUCUAAUACGAAAAACUGAUAGAGUACAAAUACUAUAGCGUCACCACAACUUGUUCUGGUUCCAUUCAGAAACUCUGAGGAGUUUGACUAAAUGAGCCAAGGGGUGAUUUACUUAAUCUAUUAAAAAUUACUAUGUUACUUAGGGACCAGACAACAUUGCAACAUCUGUCACAUGCUUGUUAUUUAGGAUUUGUUGAAAAUGAUUCUGUAAUCUGGCACAGCAACUAUUCUGCCUAUAAUUACAUUUGGAUGUUAUACUGCUCCUUAACACUUGAUCCAAGGCAAAGGGCACAUUGUGUGUAUGUAUUUGAAUUUCCAUGUAUAAGUGUCACAUAUGUCUCUGCAACUAAUCCUAAAAUAUUUUAGAAAAUACUGAAUAUGGCUAUUGAUGAGUAAGUAAGCUCUUUAAUUGUCUAAUCUCUCACUGUUUUUUUUGUUUUGUGUCUUGCAUUUAAAUGUGUACUACUUUAAAUGAAUAAAAAAAAUAUUGUAAUUUAACCAGUUGGGAUGUUACCGAUUUUAGAUAAUGCAUACAUUGCAUUUGCAUAUAUUGCAGUCAUUAUUAUUCAUACAUUUGUAAAUGUAAUGAUUAAGCAAUAGCCUUCAUCUGACCAGAAAAUGGCUUGACAGUUAAUUGCAAGUUACUUUAAAACCUCAAAAAAUGGAGAAAUGAUCUAAUAUCCUCCCGAGACUGACAGGUGUUACACUUCUCACUUUGAACACAGGCGUCCUCUUCCUCUUAUGUCUCAGUUUUCUGUUUCUCACCUUGAGACACUGCUUAAAUCAGUGGAAGGUUUCUUUGAAUAAGGCACAAAAGGGGAGAAAGAAGAGUAGUGUGUCUGCGUGAGCCAGCUUUGUGUCUGUGGAUGAGGAAGAGCCCGGUCAGAGAGAGGGAGGUGGAAGAAGAGAAGACCCACCUGCGUAACCUCAGCUUGUCCUCUGCCAAGAACACAAAACACUGAUCCAAGAGAAGAAUACGGGUCUAAUUUUGUCAGAAGACAGCUCUAUCAUAUCAUGUGUCUUAUCACUUUACAUCAUUUUUUUUUACAUGGCAGUCUAUUGUAAGGAUUACAUUUGUCAAUAUAAAAUGUACUUGUCUAAAUAAAUACAUUUAAACC